GCCUGCACAUCAGCAAAAUGCAGGCAAGUUCCCAUCUGUUUUCAUCCCUCUGUCAGGAACAAUUUUCCCAGACCAGUGGGGCAUGUAGACGAAUGGAAACAGGAUGGAUUAAGCCUAUCUUUGCUAUGAAAUUGAAAAGGCGAAAGAGGCAAAGAGAAAUAUACUUGACAAAGCUUGUCAAUGAGACAGCAACACACACAGAGAGUGAACAAAAUUGAGAAGAAACAGAUACAGCAUUAUGAAGACCAAAGUUAUAGGUCGGUUCUUUACCACUAGUGCCACCUGGGAAGCCCCAGCUAUGUGCUCAUACAAUGUAAGAAGCACCAAAUUAGGAAAAAUACACCUGAUGAGUACUUAUCCAGGCUUGGGAGACCAACAAGUUUCCAGGAGGAAGUGUGUGAAUCUACUGUUGGGGAAGACUGGGAAUCAUUUCUAUGGAGAAUGUCUCACAACGGCUCGUUUGACAUUGGGCGGUAUCUCUUCUCCAUCUUGAUACAUCAACACACUCUUCAGCUUCUGCACUCUGUGUACCACAGCCUUCUCCCAGCUGGGAUGCUCACAUCUCUCAGGAAGCUCUCUGGGACUUAUGAAACCAUCUUUGGGCCUCUUCUCUUCCUUUAAUCCCCUUCUUUAAUCCAGGGGAAAUGCAUGCAUCUCUGAUCUGUCGUCAACUUGUUCACGGUGUUGUCAUCAUUCUUUCUGGCACCAAGACCAUCUUAUAGAUGCUGGUCAACCACAUGACCCAACUUCCAGGAUUCACUGAGGAGAUUCUCUAGAGGAUUUGAAACAUCACUCUUAUGGCUUAAAUGAAGGGAAAGCAAUACCCACUCUUUUCCCAGAGGGAGGGAGGGCAAGAAAAGCACCACAAAAAGCAACAGUGUUCUCAGAAGACAUUCUCUCUCCCAGUAUCUUCAAACUCAGGCAUUUUAUUCCUUUGAGUGAGUGGGCUGAAGCCAAUAAAACUGAGUUUGGGUGGGACCUUUGCAAAUCUUGCAUAGAGGAGUCAAAUGACAUUUUUGAAAGGUCAGGAUGUUUUCCUCUAUUGCUUUAUUUGUUUGGAGACUUUAGUUGACUCAGAGGCAAAACAGGUCUCACUAUAUAAUGUAUUACAACUAAAUGUAUUACAAUUUCAAUUUAUGUUUUUCUGACCACAUUACACUAUUUCAGUUUAUUUUCCAUACAUGUUGGGCCAAAAGAACUAUAUUUGUGAAUAAGGACAGCAUAUAAGGAACAGCUCUAGGCAUAUACUCCUUUUAAUCACUGCCAUAAAUCCCCAUGAUUUAGGAAUUACUGAGAAAUUGCUAAAUAAAAAACUGCAAGUGAGAUUAUGUAAAACUAACAGAAUUGCAAAGAGCAAAUAUUUAACAGCAAGGCAGAGAAGGAUCCAUAGAUCUAAGACUUUUUUAAAAAGUAAAAUCUUGCUUUGAAGUGAAAUCUUUUUUUCACUCAUUCAAUGUGUUUAAUAAAUUCCAUAUAGGUACCAGAAAGAGUAUUAGGGAAUGUAAGUGUUAAUGGAGCUUCCAUUCCCAAAAGAGAAAGAGGAAAUAAACAAAUAAGUGAGCAUGGUCAUUUUGGGUAGUGAUACACUAAUAAAACUAUGUGAUAACCUAGAGGGGUGGGUUGGAGUAGGAGGCAGAGGAGGUUCAAGAAGAAGGGGAUAUAUGUAUAUUUAAGGGCUUCCCAGGUGGCACAGGAGAAGGCAAUGGCA